GACGAGGUCCUCCUCUUCCAUGGUCGCACCCUGGGCACCAUCGUCCCACCCCGGGUGACAAUAAGUUCGGCUGGGACCCUUGUUUCCAACCCCAGGGUUACAACCAGACAUAUGCAGAGCUGGAGCCCAACAUCAAGAAUGCCAUCUCUCACCGCCGCCGUGCCAUCGAUGCUCUUAGGAACUACUUUACCAGUGAUGCAGGACGACAACUUCUCUCUGACAAACUUAAAGUUGAAGAGUCUAGCAAAUAAUGACUAUUUGAAAGUUGAUUGAUAGUUCUAGGCCUUCCAUUUUGAAGUGAAACCUUCAUCAAGAGCAUUCAAAAUUAUAUAUAAUAUAUAUAUAUAUAUUUUUUUUUUUUCAACAAGUCGGUCGUCUCCCACCGAGGCAGGGUGACCCACCGAGGCAGGGUGACCCAAAAAAGAAAGAAAAUCCCCAAAAAGAAAAUACUUUCAUCAUCAUUCAACACUUUCACCACACUCACACAUUAUCACUGUUUUUGCAGAGGUGCUCAGAAUACAACAGUUUAGAAGCAUAUACAUAUAAAGAUACACAACAUAUCCUCCCCAAAAUGCCAAUAUCCCAAACCCCUCCUUUAAAGUGCAGGUAACAUUGUACUUCCCAUUUCCAGGACUCAAGUCCGACUAUAUGAAAAUAACCGGUUUCCCUGAAUCCCUUCACUAAAUAUUACCCUGCUCACACUCCAACAGAUCGUCAGGUCCCAAGUAUCAUUCGUCUCCAUUCACUCCUAUCUAACACGCUCACGCACGUUUGCUGGAAGUCCAAGCCCCUCGCCCACAAAACCUCCUUUACCCCCUCUUUCCAACCCUUUCGAGGACGAUCCCUACCCCGCCUUCCUUCCCCUACAGAUUUAUACGCUCUCCAUGUCAUUCUACUUUGAUCCAUUCUCUCUAAAUGACCAAACCACCUCAACAACCCCUCUGAAAGGCCCAGAGCUAUUAUUCAAUUCAUAUUUAUUUAUAAAACAUUUUGAAUAAAAAAUAAAUCCCGUUCUUGUAAUUUAUUACCUGGUAAUUAAAUUCUUUGAGAA